GAGAUGCACCAUUUCACAACUUCAGCAAAAGCCAAAGCAGCCAACAAAGCCACAGCCCCAUCGGCUGUACUGGGCUCUGCCUUUUGGGCAGCUCGCCGGCCACUCCCCAAAAGCAGAGCAUUCCAUCCUUUCUCUUUUUAAACCCACGUCAUCAUCUGAUCAUAAUGGAAAUCAAUCUCCUCAAACCACCAUGCAAAGGCGUAUCCAUGGCAACCUCAAAAGGAAGGACACAGAGAUGAUGCUUCAGUGGCUGCAGCAGGAAAAGGUGUUUCAAACUUCCUUUACCAUUUUCAAGUCCUUACUCCCACCCAAGCCAACACCAGCAUCCCCACCUCUCAGCAGAUAACCUUGCUGAAAAAGAAAACUGGCCCUAUUAGGGCCCACUCCUUCCCCUCUCCUCUGAGGACCUGAUUUAGCAAUCGUCUUUUCUCUUGUGUCUUCAUUGCACCCUCUCUACUGGAUCUUACAUGGCAUCAGAAAACCCAUAAACAAGACUCUUCCAUUCUAGGAAAAACAAGUCCCUGCUACCUCCUCCACAAGCUGCCACCAUUCUGUAUUCUUCCUUUCUCUGCUGAACUACUCAAACUCUUCGCCUCUCGGUACUUUUAAGUAUACCUGAGUAGCCAGUGGUCAACAUGGGUUUGCUGCUCUCCUCACUGCAAUAAAUGUGGGAAACCUGUAGCUCAGUAUGGAUUCAGGGGCGCCUCAGACGCUCGCAGGAACGGAGGGGAGACCCUUGCAGUUCUGGAGGAACUCUAAGGCGCAGUCACUCUGAUCCCAAGAGGACACUGCUAGGCUGGAGAGCUGAGUUUCGCCCUGACUGAAAACUGCGCGCCGACCGCAGCCGGGAUUACAUCAAUCAGGCACAAAGCUGGACACCUGGGACAGGAUAAGCGCACGCG